rnacentral:misc_RNA from 1 species
GCAAAAAAGGGGAUGUUGACGCUGCAUUUGUAGUAGUAGAAGAGAUGAGGAAGUCCAGAGUUUCUCAUCCUAACUUGAUUACUUACAGCACCCUCAUGGAUGGCUUAUGCCGAUGUGGAAGGCUUCAAGAUGCACUUGACCUUUUUGAGAAAAUGCUUGCUAAGGAUCAGAUUCCGCCAGAUGCAUUGACUUACAAUAUCUUAAUAAAUGCAUUUUGUCGUGCAGGAAAGGUGGAUAGAGCUAGGAACAUAAUAGGAUUCAUGAGGAAAAAUGGAUGUCAACCAAAUAUAGUUAAUUACACAGCUUUGAUGAAUGGAUUUU